rnacentral:piRNA from 2 species
UCAGGAAGAAGCUUGAAUUCAUUUCAUGGG